rnacentral:rRNA from 1 species
AUUGAACGCUGGCGGCAGGCUUAACACAUGCAAGUCGAACGAGUGGCGGACGGGUGAGUAAUGUCUGGGAAACUGCCUGAUGGGGGGGGAUAACUACUGGAAACGGUAGCUAAUACCGCAUACCAUCGGAUGUGCCCAGAUGGGAUUAGCGAGUAGGUGGGGUAACGGCUCACCUAGGCGACGAUCCCUAGCGGGUCUGAGAGGAUGACCGGCCACAUGGGAACGGAGACACGGUCCGAACUCCUGCGGGAGCAAGAAGGGGGAAAUAUUGGACAAUGGGGGAAAGCUUGAGGCAGCCAGGCCGCGUGUAUGAAGAAGGCCUUCGGGUUGUAAAGUACUUUCAGCGGGAAGGCGUUACCCGCAGAAAAAGCACCGGCUAACUCCGUGCCAGCAGCCGCGGUAAUAC